AGAAUCAACGCUGGCGGCGCGCUUAACACAUGCAAGUCGCACGAGAAAGCAGGAGCAAUCUUGUGAGUAAAGUGGCGUACGGGUGAGUAACACGUGGAUGAUCUACCCUUUAGUGGGGAAUAACGCUGGGAAACCGGCGCUAAUACCGCAUAAUCUCGAGAGAGGAAAGCAGCAAUGCGCUGAAGGAGGAGUCCGCGGCCGAUUAGCUAGUUGGUAGGGUAAAAGCCUACCAAGGCAUAGAUCGGUAGCCGGCCUGAGAGGGGCACGACGGACCGACGACUGGCACUGAAACACGGGCCAGACUCCUACGGGAGGCAGCAGUGGGGAAUCUUGCACAAUGGGGGAAACCCUGAUGCAGCGACGCCGCGUGAGCGAUGAAGCCCUUCGGGGUGUAAAGCUCUUUCGUCAGGGACGAUAAUGACGGUACCUGGAGAAGCAGCUGCGGCUAACUACGUGCCAGCAGCCGC
rnacentral:rRNA from 1 species